GUUGAUAAGGUUAAGUGAAUAAGGGCGCACGGUGGAUGCCUUGGCACUAGGAGCCGAUGAAGGACGGGACUAACACCGAUAUGCUUUGGGGAGCUGUACGUAAGCUAUGAUCCAGAGAUUUCCGAAUGGGGGAACCCAACAUCUUUAAUAGGAUGUUACGAUUGUGUGAAUACAUAGCACAUUCGAGGUAGACGCAGAGAACUGAAACAUCUAAGUACCUGCAGGAAGAGAAAGAAAAUUCGAUUCCCUGAGUAGCGGCGAGCGAAACGGGAAAAGCCCAAACCAGCAAGCUUGCUUGUUGG
rnacentral:rRNA from 1 species